GCCUGGCUGGUUCAGUUGGAAGAGUGUGAGACUCUUGAUCUCAGGGUCAUGAGUUUGAGCCCCAUGCUAGGUA
rnacentral:tRNA from 1 species